CAUCAACAGACUGCUUUGAUAUCUUGUGUCUUAAAAGAAGAGCAGACAGAAAAUGUUACAGCUGCUUACUUCCAUUAACUCAGCUGGAAACGCCGUUUGUGGAUCCGAGGGCACCUUUUCAGGGUUCGGGGCACGUCAGGCUCCUCUGGGGUUAGCGACUGUGGGACGCUCACCUGUAGCGCAGACGUGAACACAGGAGCCGGGAGCCCUUCUGUUUGGGAGGCCACAGCAGGUCUCUUAGCCACGCUCUGCUUCUGACGUGGUGAAGAAAAGCGAAGUCAUUGUUUUAUCGUCGUAACCAUCACCGAGUGAAUGGGAACCCGUGCUGUUUCUAGCUUUUCCUUAUCUAGCUGAACUCUCACAACAAGCUUAUGUGGUAUAGACCCUGAUUUCACAGAUGAGGCAACUGAGAAUGGCGGGGGCUGCUGGACUAAGAGGACGUGAGCUUCCUUAGAUUAGUGGGAAAACAAGUCUUUAGAGAAGAUGUGACUUGCUUAAGGUCACCCUGCAGGUCAGAGUGUGGCUGAGGGUCCAGGGCCAAAGCUGGUCGUAAUUGUUUGCUCACGUGCUUAUUGAUGAAACCCUGAAACUCGGAGCCGAUUGAUGUUCAGAGUUCUGUGUAGCCACGCGGAGAUGAGCCCUUACCAUUUCUAUAAAGCACCAAGCGGCAAAGACUGACGCCUGGGAGCCUGGGCCUGGAAUCUCGCAAGGCAGGGCCUGAAUCCUGGGCUUGCCGUCCACAGGCUUUGUGUCCAAGAGCGAGACCUGUACCCUCGCAAAAUCUGUUCCUUCCCCUGGAAAAUGGAGAUAACGCCACCAGCCUUGUUAGGUGGCUGUGAACACUGAGAGAGCACAUGGCAUAGUGCUGGCACAGAACUAAGCCUUCCAGAAAUGGAUGCUGCUGCUGUUUUCAGAGCACCUUCUCCAUCUGCUUCUCGGUUCAUUCAGACCUUCACCCGGAAAAGGCACUCCAGUGUUCUGAUCUGAUGAAACAGUGAACAUUUGUGAGGUGCUUUAAAAAUUACAGAUGUUUCUGUAUACUCCCGAGCACCACUGCAGGAUAGGAAUCUGCAUCUCCGCUCUCCAGAUCGGCAUUCUUAGGCUCGGCAAAAUCACAUGCUCCCCAGGAUCCUGUAGUUAGUCAACAGCACAGCCAGGACCUCAACUCAGAGCUGCAGCUCCGGACCCUGUGCUGAAUAACUUCAUUUGCUUCCUGUGAGGCAGCAUUUAUUAGAGGCAUGUACGUUAACAGAAAAGUACUUCCCACCCUGGGAUCCCAACCGGCCACAGCUGCAUCUUUAAUCUGGCCUAAAUAUUCAAGUUAGGACUCCUGUAUCCCGAUGUCUGUAACAUUUGGAAGCCACUGUCCUAAAGACGUGUCCUAGUCAGAUAUGGUCUCCUCGGGUAUUUAAGCCCCGAGGGACGUUACCUUAAUCCGGUUUUCCUACAAGAACAGACUGGCAUUUCACGUCAAGGGAAACACCGUGUCUCCACUGCUCCGCUUUUGCCACACCGGAGUUACCCGUGUGGUUUACGGAGUCACAUUUCAGGCUCUACCUUGCCUAUCAGAUCUGGAAGCAAAAAUCCAGAGAAGGGCAGCUUGCUCAAAAAGAGCAUCAAGUAUGGCAGGGCAGGUGGGAUUUUGAAAUGGAAACACAUUCCUGUGGCUUUUGGGCUGAGGGAGACGGAGGAAGGAUUUUGUUCCUGACAAGUGGUUCCCUUUGUGCUAGGGAUGGAGCGUUCAGCAGGGUUAAACGUGUGUUCCAUGUGUAAGUGGUGGGAACAAAUAACACGCCUUUCCAAUGAUGCAAUACCUUAAACAUGGUUGAGGGUUAAAAUAGGAGCACCCUGAGUUACAGAGAGUCAGCCCUGUCCAUCUCCUGGCCUGAACAUGCAGAACAGUGGGGUCGAUUGUUGGAGACGGAGGGCAGGAAGGCGUGGAAAGAUGCUGUCGUGACCGAGUAAGAUCUUUCCCUGCAGGUCAGUGUCGCUGACGGACUCGGCAGAGUAAGCAGAUGCCAGGUGCUGGGGCCCGUUUUCCCACGUGUGUCCUGGAAGGAGAAGGAACGAGCCCCUGAUUUUUUUUUCCACAUCCCUACUAGGGAACCAUGGGAUUUUUUUCCCCCUGUGUGAGUUUGAUAGCUACCCUGCCCACGCAGACCUCUUUGCAGGAAACCGGCCUCUUGCUUUAGAAGAUGAUACAAAAACAGAGGCCCAAACUCAGGAGCUCUAUUUCAGUGUAUUUUGUGGACGUCAUUUUAUAAUCGCCAACUAAGUACCUCUGAUUCCCACCAAGGGCUUGCCAGCUUCAAGGACAGAUACACUACAUGACUGAUUCUGGUGCUAAUUACUCUUUUUCUGCUAAAAAUGCCUCCUCAUUUGAAGAGCCAUAGAUGGGAAAGAAUAUAUCCACCUUUGUUCUGCUGAUUUUUUUGAAGAGGCAUAUUUAAAGGAUAAUACAGGAAACGUACCAUCUGUUUGUUUCUGCUGAGGGAAGAGAACAGUAUGGUUGCAUGUGUAUUAUGUGUAUGCGUGUGCAGGUAUGUACAUGUGCAGAUGUGACCUUUACUUGAUGUAUGAGAUACGUAUGACCUUAGAUAUAAGUAAAAGGAAGAAAUUCAUUCUUUAGGAAAAAAAUUUCCCCGUAACUGAAAUGUCAGUCAUUAGUUAAAAAUGAAAAAAAAUUAGGGUGUUCCUGUCAUGGCUCAGUGGUACAAACCUGACUCGUAUCCAUGAGGAUGUGGGUUCGACUCCUUGUUCUGUGGGUUAAGGACCCGGCAUUGCUGUGAGCUGUGGUGUAGGUCACAGACGUGGCUCAGAUCCCACGCUGGUAUGGCCGUGACAUAGGCCAGCAGCUACAGCUCUGAUUUGACCUCUAGCCUGGGAACUUCCAUAUGUCUCGGGUCUGGCCCUAAAAAUAAAUUAAUUUAAAAAAAUAGAAAGUAGGCCUUUUUGGAUUUUGGAUUUUCAGCUGAUCAGAAUAAGAGAAUCUGGCUGAACCUUGUAUACUUGGGUUGCUGAGAUUAUCAAUUACAAUAGCAUUUGCAGAGAGAUGCAGUGGAGCCCAGAUUCAUCACAAAAUUAGUAAAAUAGCUAUUUGAGGAGGCCAGUGAUUCCCGUGUCCCAGCACUUGUUCAGGUUGAAAUGCUUGCACGUCCUUUCCAGUUGAGAUAUUUAACUGCCUGUGGCUUCAUGGAGCAUGUGUAUUUCUUUGCUGGCAGCACGUGGCUGCAUCCUUGUGAAGUGAUUGCUGCACGUCUCUGCAGCCCAUGGUGUCCUUGUCCCUUGUUUACAGAGAUGAAAAACUGAGCCUAGUGGCGGUAGGCACAUGCCAUGGUGCUUUUCCACUGUGAAGGACGAGUCUGUGUUGGGAUCUCCUGGUGAAGGGCUAAGUGGCCUGGCCUGUCAGGGGUAAGAAUGUGAAUCGGACCCGAGCUAAACACCCUGCCCCCUCCUGGCUUGUUAGCCUCCUGCUGGGCCCACUGGAAAUCCUCAGCCACAGGCAUGUUGUGACUGGAUGUUCUUUCCAUACUCAUGUUGAGAUUGUAAAUGAAGGGAGUUCCUGUCGUGGCUCAGUGGUAAGAAACCCGAUUAGUGUCCAAGAGGACACGGGUUCGAUCCCUGGCCUUGCUCAGUGGGUUAAGGAUCCAGUGUUCCCGUGAGCUGUGGUAUAGGUCACAGAUGGCGCUCGGAUCCUGUGUUGCUGUGGCUGUGGUGUAGGC
rnacentral:lncRNA from 1 species